GACGAACGCUGGCGGCGUGCCUAAUACAUGCAAGUCGAGCGAGCUGAAUUCAAAGAUUCCUUCGGGAUGAUUUGUUGGACGCUAGCGGCGGAUGGGUGAGUAACACGUGGGCAAUCUGCCCUAAAGACUGGGAUACCACUUGGAAACAGGUGCUAAUACCGGAUAACAAUGAUGGUUGCAUGACCAUUAUUUGAAAGGCGGCGUAAGCUGUCACUUUAGGAUGAGCCCCGCGGUGCAUUAGCUAGUUGGUGAGGUAACGGCUCACCAAGGCGAUGAUGCAUAGCCGAGUUGAGAGACUGAUCGGGCCACAUUGGGACUGAGACACGGCCCAAAUCCUAACGGGAGCAGCAGUAGGGAAUCUUCCACAAUGGACGCAAGUCUGAUGGAGCAACGCCGCGUGAGUGAAGAGGUUUU
rnacentral:rRNA from 1 species